rnacentral:misc_RNA from 1 species
GAUGAAGAACGCAGCGAAAUGCGAUAAGUAAUGUGAAUUGCAGAAUUCAGUGAAUCAUCGAAUCUUUGAACGCACCUUGCACCCUUUGGCAUUCCGAAGGGUAUGCUCGUUUGAGUGUCAUUGUACUCUCACACUCUCCGAUCCUAUGGAUUCGGGGAGCGGUGGACUUGGGUGUUGCUGCCUUUCCCUGUGGCUCACCUCAAAUGCGUCAGUGCACCUCUUGGUUGGACAUAGUACGGCGUGAUAAGUGUCUUCGCCGGCACCUCGCAAGAGGGUGGCCGAUCGGGAGCUCUGCGCUUUCAAACCGUCUUAGGACAAUUUCUGACAUCUUGACCUCAAAUCGAGUAGGACUACCCGCUGAACUUAAGCAUAUCAAUAAGCGGAGGA